rnacentral:rRNA from 1 species
UACGUAGGGGGCAAGCGUUGUCCGGAAUCAUUGGGCGUAAAGAGCGCGUAGGCGGUCCGGUAAGUCCGCUGUGAAAGUCAAGGGCUCAACCCUUGAAUGCCGGUGGAUACUGUCGGGCUAGAGUCCGGAAGAGGCGAGUGGAAUUCCUGGUGUAGCGGUGAAAUGCGCAGAUAUCAGGAGGAACACCAAUGGCGAAGGCAGCUCGCUGGGACGGUACUGACGCUGAGGCGCGAAAGCGUGGGGGAGCAAACAGG